CUCUUUCUGAUUAUAUGAUAGGUGGUGCAUGGCCGUUCUUAGUUCGUGGAGUGCUCUGUCUGCUUAAUUGCGUUUCAAAUUUUUAUUUGAGGACCAGGUUUUGGUUUGGGUAGCGGUCCUACGAUGACUGUGAACUGUCAUGUCUUCGGAUGUGCGACUAUCGGUCUAGGAUCGCAUCUCAGCCCCUGGGACUCUUUUGAACGCAACGGACGUGAUUGCAACCCCUUGUUGAGAUUAGAGGAGUCUCGAUAUUCAUUGGCCAAACUUACCGCUUCGAGCUUGCUCGUG
rnacentral:rRNA from 1 species